UGUUGUAUACUUUUAUAACAUAUAUUGAACAAUUAUAUAUAUUUUUUCAUAUCAGUUUAUCGGAGCCUGCAAGGACCCUGUGAUGGUCAUAGUAACCGAGCUUCUUACCGGUGGAACUUUAAGAAAAUACUUGGUUAAUAUGAGGCCGAACGGGUUGGAUACACAUGUUCCUAUAGGGUUUGCACUUGAUAUUGCGCGUGCAAUGGAGUGUUUACACUCGCAUUGAAUAAUUCACCGGGACUUAAAACCAGCCGAUCACAAAUCAGUGAAACUCACUGAUUUUGGUUUGGCAAUAGAAGAAUUGUUAACAGAGAUGAUGACUGCAUAAACCGGAACCUAUCGAUGGAUGGCUCCCGAGCUUUACAGCGCGGUAACAGUUAGGUAAGGAGAAAAAAAGCAUUAUAACCACAAAGUCGACGCGUACAGCUUUGCAAUUGUAUUGUGGGAACUCAUACACAAGUUACCAUUCGAAGGCAUGUCAAACCAACAGGCUGCCUAUGCAGCCGCUUUCAAGAAACUAAAGGAUGGCUAGAUGGUG